rnacentral:rRNA from 1 species
GACGAACGCUGGCGGCGUGCUUAACACAUGCAAGUCGAACGAAGUGGCGAACGGGUGAGUAAAGCGUAAUCAACCUGCCCUUCAGAGGGGGACAACAGUUGGAAACGACUGCUACUCCCGCAUCCGGAAGGAGGGGAUUGAGUCUGAUUAGCUAGUUGGAGGGGUAAAGGCCCCCCAAGGCGAUGAUCAGUAGCCGGGCUGAGAGCGUGAACGGCCACAUUGGGACUGAGACACGGCCCAGACUCCUACGGGAGGCAGCAGUGGGGAAUCUUCCGAAAUGGACGAAAGUCUGACGGAGCACAGCCACGGGAGUGAUGACGGCCUUCGGGUUUUAAAGCUCUGUUAAUCGGGACGCGGUACCGGAAUAGAAAGCCACGGCUAACUACGUGCCAGCAGCCGCGGUAAUUC